GUUACCAUAACAACAUGCCCAUAACCAUAGAUAUCAAUUGAAUUUUGAUUUUCGCUGUAACCAUAAAAAGCUGUUUGUUGAUUUUUUGACUUUUCAUUUGAAAUUUCGUUUGCAUUUUGUUUUGUUCGCCUCAUAAUUUUGUAUUUAUAAAGCUCGGAUUGUUUUAUGUAAUGCGAUUUUUAAACAGCAAUCAAAUAAUAAUCUAUUAAUCAAAAUGGAUGAUAUUAAAUUAAUAGAAUGUGUGCGGAAUUCGUCAUGCCUAUGACAAGAGUCAUGCCGAUUUCAAAAAUCAAGAGAAAAAAAGGCGCUCUUGGAAGGAAGUCACCAAUAAUUUGGAAGUUGGUGGUGAGUUCAAUAUAAAUAAUAUAAUAUUUAAUAUACAAUAUGUUUGGACGGUUGGCGCUAUUUGAAAGUUUGCAAUUUUUAAGAAGUCACAUUAUUCCUCGUCCAAUGCGACAAAGUGCGCCAAUAUUAAAACGCAGCAACGAGAACUAUGACUUUAUAAACAUUUCGUCCGAAUCUAUAUCACAAGAUCUCUCGCCGUCACCUCCAAUUUCCUCUGGGAAGUUAAUUCCGUCCGACCAAUCAAUUCUGUCCGAUCAAACAACAGCAAUUCCGUCCGAUCAGUCAAUUCCGUCUAGUCAGCCAAAAGCAAAUACGUUAUCAACAUCGCGGCCACGAAAGCGAAGAGGCAGACAGCUUGACGAGGUGGACACUGCCAUCCUCGGAACAGUGAAAACUUUCCAGGAGGUAUGUGAACGUAGAGCGCGUCGAGAAGAGUUUGAUGCGGAGAUAAGCGGUUUUGGGCGAAUGAUAUGCUCUUCGAUUUCAAAAAUGAAAAAAUCAAGGCAAGCAUUGGUGAUGCGUCAAUGUACUGACAUUGUAAUGCAAGCGCAAAUUGAUGAAGAAGAAGAAAGCUUUGUGUAUAUGAACUAGUCCCUCGAUUAUGAGAGUUUUUUAAACUUUUAUUACAUAUUACUUUUUGUUCUUUUAAUGAGAACGGUUGAAUUUUUGAACCUGAAGUACAAAGGAUAUAAUCCAUAUAACGUUCUAUAUAAUAAUUAUUUGUGUUUAUUUAAUUAA